rnacentral:misc_RNA from 1 species
UUUCCGUAGGUGAACCUGCGGAAGGAUCAUUCAUAAUAAGUGUUUUAUGGCACUUUGUUAAAUCCAUAUCCACCUUGUGUGCAAUGUCAGGGUUGAUUUUUCUCUCGCGAGGAUCAGCCCCAAACACCAACUAUAUCUCAACUCUUUGUCUGAAAAAUAUUAUGAAUAAAACAAUUCAAAAUACAACUUUCAACAACGGAUCUCUUGGCUCUC